rnacentral:rRNA from 1 species
GGAUUAGAUACCCUGGUAGUCCACGCCGUAAACGAUGUGUGCUAGACGUCGGGUGUUCGGCAUUCGGUGUCGCAGCUAACGCAUUAAGCACACCGCCUGGGGAGUACGGCCGCAAGGUUAAAACUCAAAGGAAUUGACGGGGGCCCGCACAAGCGGUGGAGCAUGUGGUUUAAUUCGACGCAACGCGCAGAACCUUACCAGCCCUUGACAUCCCGGUCGCGGGGAGUGGAGACACACCCUUUCAGUUCGGCUGGACCGGAGACAGGUGCUGCAUGGCUGUCGUCAGCUCGUGCCG